UUUGGGAGGGGGUUAGGUCAUAAUGGUGGGGCGCUGGCCAGGCAGAUGACUGCCCUCGUAAGAGAGGCCCCACAUUGCCCACGGCCCUUCCGCGUCGUGAGGACACAAGGAGAAGCCUUAUGACCCAGAAGGGGACUCUCACUUGACCACGCUGCACCCUGAUUUCACACUCCCAGCCUCCAGAACCAUGAGAAGUAGGUGUCUGUUGUUCACAAGCCACCUAGUGUGUGGUGUUUGGUGAUAGCGGCCCUGGGAGACUGAGGCAGUAUCUACUUCUGCUCUCUUGGUCCUGACUGUGGGGGAGCCAGAAGCCUGUCACUGUCCCCAGGAUCCCCUCCAAGGAGCCCAUGGGACAGGCUGCCACAGUCUCCAUCCCGUGGUCUCUGUCUUUGCUACGUCUCCAAUUCCUCAUGGCCGAAAACCGAGCCUCCAGAACUUUGCACAUGAUCACAUUUGUCCCAGGAUCCUGUGUAUCAUCAUCUCAUCGUCUACGCCGGCACCCCCACCUGCUCAUCCAAACCCUUCUACGUUUUGGCUUCCUCUUCUCAAAAACACCAGUGCCGUCCCUUCGAAAAUACUGCGUGCUGUUGACUUUCCUCUCCCUUUGGAGUUUGGGAGGACACAAAAGUGAGUCUUCUCACCAUGUUUCCGUCCAUGUUUUGUAUGCCCAGAACAGGGUCAGUCUGGGUAAGGAAGAAACAUCAUUAGAUUCCUUUCACGAUGUAAAUACAAAGACUGCCUUCUCACCAAA